CUUCGAAUUUCAUGUGUCUUGUUUGUCUCAUGUCGUCAAUGUGAGUGAAUUUCUGUCCAUUGUCCGUCAUCUGUUUUGCCUGUUUUCCCCACCCUUGAUUUCAAAGCUUGGCCAGCUCCCCACCUCAAGAAGGACCUGAGCAGUAGUACCAUCCCUCAGGAAUACCUGGCCUGAUGACUCCUUGCUGUCCCCAGUCCACCUGGCCAUGCUGCUACUCCAGUUUCAACUGUUCUGCCUGCGGAUAUGGAACCCUGACCUGUUCUCCGGACGUGCUACCUGUCCCAGACCUGCUGUUUUCAACUCUCUAGAGACAGUAGGAGCGGUAAAGAUACUCUGAAUGAUCGGCUAUGAAAAGCCAACUGACAUUUACUCUUGAGGUGCUGACCUGUUGCACCCUCGACAACCACUGUGAUUAUUAUUAUUUGACCCUACUGGUCAUGUAUGAACAUUUGAACAUCUUGGCCAUGUUCUGUUAUAAUCUCCACCCGCCACAGCCAGAAGAGGACUGGCCACCCCUCAUAACCUGGUUCCUCUCUAGGUUUCUUCCUAGGUUCUGGCCUUUCUCUGGAGUUUUUCCUAGCCACUAGCCGCUUCUACACCUGCAUUGCUUGCUGUUUGGGGUUUUAGGCUGGGUUUCUGUACAGCACUUUGAGAUAUCAGCUGAUGUAAGAAAGGCUUUAUAAAUAAACUUGAUUUGAUUUGACGUAUUGGACAUGGCAAAAUGUUGAACCAUUUAAAGUUUGAGACUUGCUGCCACUCCAAUCUGUCCGUUAAACUUUUUUAAUGAGCCAGAACCAACAAUACCAUGCACCAUGCAGUGGUCAAAAUGAUGUCCCAUGGAAACAAUUGUCUCUCAACAAUAAAUUGUGGAUAAUACCUGAAUGUA